GCUCCGGUGGUUUAGUGAUUAGAGCGCCCGUCUCUGAUGCGGGAGAUCGCGGGUUUUAUCCCCGGCCGAGUACA